rnacentral:rRNA from 1 species
AUGGAGCCUUUAGUAUCUCUGCCAGGCGCACUGAAGCAAGCUGGCACACGCAGACCUUGUACUGGAUGCUCUGUGAAGGAUUUGUGUCUUGUUUCAAAACAAGGGUCAAUAGCUGAAGUGGAAUCUGCUUUGGCCUUGAUAAAAAAGAACGGUGGAAGCAUUGACGGUAGAAAUGCAUUUGGCCUUGGUGCCCUCCACCUUGCAACAUGGAGAAAUCACCUUCCAAUCGUCAGGCGGCUCCUAGAUGCUGGUGCUAAUCCAGAUGCAAGGGAUGGAGAAUCCGGUUGGAGCAGCCUUCACAGAGCACUUCAUUUUGGCCACUUGUGCAUUGCUGGUGUUCUUCUACAGUUUGGUGCAUCCCUCAAUUUGGAGGACACCAAGGGUCGUACACCUAUUGAUCUUCUCUCUGGCCCUGUAUCACAGACUAAUGGGGAUUCUCCCAAUUCAGUUGCAACGGAAGUCUUCAGUUGGGGAAGUGGAACAAACUAUCAACUGGGAACUGGCAAUGCCCACAUACAAAAACUACCUUGCAAAGUAGAUGCCUUGCAUGGGUCAUACAUCAAAACUGUUGCUGCAUCAAAGUUCCAUAGUGUAGCAGUCAGUUCUGAUGGUGAAUUAUACACUUGGGGAUUUGGUCGAGGUGGUCGUCUUGGACAUCCGGAUAUUCAGAGUGGCCAGACGACAGCUGUGAUUACCCCUCGCCAAGUGACAGUUGGAUUAGGCCGUAAAAAGGUGAAUGUUGUGGCUGCUGCGAAACAUCACACAGUGAUUGCUACAUCAGCUGGGGAAUUGUUUACCUGGGGAUCAAACAGAGAGGGUCAGCUUGGUUACCCUUCUGUCGAUACCCAACCAACACCAAGGCGUGUUAGUUCACUCAAGCAAAGGAUAAUUGCAGUAGCCGCUGCAAACAAGCACUCAGCAGCAGUUGCCGAUACUGGCGAAGUGUUCACAUGGGGUUCCAAUAAGGAGGGCCAGCUAGGCUAUGGCACUUCAAACUCGGCAUCCAAUUGCAUUCCAAGAAUGGUAGAGUAUUUGAAAGGAAAAGUAUUUAACGGUGUAUCUGCAGCAAAAUAUCAUACGUUAGUGUUUGGGGCUGAUGGUGAGGUGUUCACUUGGGGUCAUCGCCUCGUGACCCCUCGCCGUGUUGUAAUAGCUAGAUGUCUUAAGAAGGGUGGAAAUGCAAACGUGAAGUUUCAUCGUAUGGAGCGACUUCAGGUGAUCUCUGUGGCAGCUGGAGUGAUGCACAGUACUGCUCUAACAGCUGAUGGUGCUAUUUUUUACUGGAAUUCAUCGGAUCUGGACUUAAGAUGUCAACAGAUAUUCUCUAUGUGUGGACGGAAUGUAGUGAGCAUCUCAGCUGGAAAGUACUGGACUGCACUGGCUACAUCAACUGGUGAUGUUUUCAUGUGUGAUGCAAAGAAACGUAAGGAUGAAACUCCAGUAUUUACUCGAGUGAAUGGUGUUAAGCGAGCAUCAUCAGUUUGUGUUGGUGAAACACAUAUGCUUGUGCUUUCUAGUAUUUACCAUCCUGAGUAUCCACCCAAACCCAAAAUCCAAAGCAAAAAGCCCUCAUCAGAAUGGAGUGGUGUGAUGGAAGAGUUGGAUGAAGACAUAUUGUUUACUGAUGUCCAGCCUGAAACUGAUCUAUCUGUAACCAACAGUGAAAUGAGCAAAGGCAUACCCAGUCUGAAGAGCCUCUGUGAGAAAGUUGCAAUUCAGCAUAUAAUGGAGCCAAAGAAUGCUAUACAACUUCUUGAAGUUGCUGAUUCCUUGGAAGCCAAAGAGCUCAAGAAGCACUGUGAGGAUACAGCUAUUCGCAACCUUGAUUACAUCUUCACAGUGGCAGCUCCUUCAAUUAUGAAUGCUUCUCCUGAAAUUCUUGCAAAUUUAGAGAGAUUGCUGGAUGAAAAAUCCUCGGAGCCCUGGAGUCACCGCCGUCUUCCCACAAUGACAGCUACUUAUCCUGCUGUCAUUGAUAGCGAUGCAGAGGGAGAUAAUGCAGGAGGAUUCCCUAGGCUCAGGGACAGUCAGAAGCCUGCAUCAAAGUUGUAUGGAAUGUCAGGUUAUGGUAACUUCCUUCAGAAAGAAAGCAAUGCUGAGCAAGCUGUCUCCAAACAGAUCAGGGCAAUUCGCAAGAAACUGCAGCAGAUUGAGAUGCUCGAGGCUAAACAACUGGAUGGUCAUCAGCUUGAUGAUCAACAGCUAGCAAAGCUCGAGUCUAGGGCUUCCCUCGAAAGUGAACUUGCAGAGCUUGGCUUUCCAACAGAAGCAUUUUCAAGACCUUCAGUUUAUGUGCCAAACAAAAAAUCUGAGGGUUCUAAGAAACAGAAGAAGAAAUUCAAGCAGGCAGCACAAUCUGAUAUUACCUCUCUAAAGCAUGAGGACAAGGAGCAAAACCACAAUAAGGAGCUUCCAGAAGUGUUACCAACCCAUGGCUCUUCAGAAAAGGAACCAGUCAAACCAUCUGAUGAUGGCACUUCGAGUAACACAAAAGCCAUCUUUUGUCCAUUAGGGGACAAAGCUUCCCGGCCAACUUCAUCAAAGAAGAAGAACAAGAAAGGCGGCUUGUCAUUGUUUUUGAGUGGUGCUCUUGAUGACACCUCAAAGCUAAGCUUGCCUACUCCUGCUGUGCCUGUGACACCAAAGCAAGAAGGACCUGCCUGGGGUGGAGCUAAGAUAACGAAGGGACCUGCUUCCCUUCGUGAUAUUCAAAGCGAGCAGAGGUCGAAAACGAACGAGCUGAUGACGACGAAAGCAAAAGACCGCCACGAGGAUUCACCUGACAGUGCUGGGCUUUUGCGGCUUUCUUCAUUUAUGCCUGAUGCGUGUUCAAGUCCAAUAUCUGUUACACCUGCUCGUGCUGUUCUUGCUCACGAAGGGGAUAAGAGCACACCUCCUUGGUCAUCUUCAGCUACCUCACCCAACCUAUCACGACCUUCACUCAGGGACAUACAGAUGCAGCAGGAGAAACGGCAUCACAGCGUUGUCUCCCACAGUCCGAAAACCCGGACAUCAGGCUUUGCCAUACCAUCCCUGGGCGCAGCGCCAGAGGUUGUUGGCGUGAAGGACAACGUUCCCAACCGCUGGUUUAAGCCAGAGACUGACACCCCGUCCUCCAUCCGCUCGAUCCAGAUUGAGGAACAAGCGAUGAAGGACUUCAAGCGUUUUUACACCACCGUGAGGAUCAUGAAGCCACAGGUCUAG